GACAGGAGACAGGAGAUGAUGUUCAACAAGGGGCCACAGGCUGAAACUGAACCCGCAGCCGCUGCAGGAAGGACACAGCCUCGGUACAUGAGGCACCUGCUCCUUCGGCCCACCACAGGACAGCUAGAGGACAGAGAAGAAGUGGGAAACUUAACACGCUUAUGAGGUCCUGAAGCUCCGGUUUGGCUUCCAGCUUCCCAUCGUAGUACUCUGGACCCUGGUGAAGAAACAACAUCUUGAUACUCAACCGGCGCUUGUGUCUUUAUGAAAAGUGCAAAGUGGUGAUUGACAGGGAACUGGGACGCAGAGGGUGAGACAUACGGCAAGGUGAGCUGCGUUAAACGUCCUGAACAACGCGCUUCUUAUCUUGCCGAGCCACUGGAGCACCAAUAUUUCAAUGCAUAUUAUAGUGGGGACAUGGGAGAAAGACGGACGGAUGUAAUUUAGAUUCAUAGCUCACCUCCUCAUUGACCCGGCUGUCCACAAACUACACACUGUGUCCCAGCAGCCGCUGGAUUUAUUACCCGUUUACCA